rnacentral:rRNA from 1 species
GAACGGAGAGAUUCAUCGUCACUCCGCGGCGCGUCGUGCGUCGUUUCGAUACUGUCCCCCCUCGGGGGGGCGGUACGGACGACGUCGACAGUGUCCGCGGACGGCGUGCACUUCUCUCUUAGUAAGACAUCGCGACCCGUUCGAUGUACGUCUACGCCCCGCACGGGAGCCCGGCGGCACUCGUUGCCAUCGGACCGAGCGGCGGCCGGCCUACUGUCGGACGGUAUAAAGAUUUGAAUCGUGCACGCGCUUGCGCGCGUCCGGCACGACGCAAUAUGUUGCCGUACUGCGUGCCUGCCUCGCGGCGGUUCGCGGUAUUGUGAUGUAUGUUGUCGCAGCCGUAUAGUCUCGGACUGUGCACGUCUCGGUCUGCGAUGAUUCAGUUUCGGGCACUCGCAGGACCCGUCUUGAAACACGGACCAAGGAGUCUAGCAUGUGUGCGAGUCAUUAAGAUUUGAAAACUGAAAGGCGCAACGAAAGUGAAGGUGUGUGCUCCGCACGCGCUCAGGGAGGAUGGGGUGCGAUCUCGGUCGUACUCUCGCACUCC